GACGUAGGGCGCGAGCGUUGUCCGGAUUUAUUGGGCGUAAAGAGCUCGUAGGCGGCUUGUCGCGUCGACCGUGAAAACUUGGGGCUCAACCCCAAGCCUGCGGUCGAUACGGGCAGGCUCGAGUUCGGUAGGGGAGACUGGAAUUCCUGGUGUAGCGGUGAAAUGCGCAGAUAUCGGGAAGAACACCCAUGGCGAAGGCAGCUCUCUGGGACGGUACUGACGCUGAGACGCGAAAGCGUGGGGAGCGAACAGG
rnacentral:rRNA from 1 species